UCCGCAGUAGUAACUCGUAAAAUGCGUUUGUGAGUACUCCUGUAAUACAUAGGUAUAGAUAUUGUUGUUAUUAUUAUUUUCUUGACUCUUCCUUAUUCACGGCGUAUCUCCUUUAUUCGUUGCUCAGCCGAUUGAAACGUAAAUGGCGAACGAUAUUCAGGUAUCGUUCUUUUUUAACGGUCGAGCAGAUAGCAAAUAAGAUAUCAUAACUACCUAUAAUAUACUUGUAUACACCGUACAUAUACGAUAUAUAGAUAUAUUACACUGCUAUACUAUUACGCGGUGAGAUCGACGACUUCUUAGCCGUUUUCCACCGGGUUCAAUGCCUAAAUAUUAUACGAUAUUAUUGUAUAAACGGUCUUAUCUAUCGCAUUUUCGACGUCGCUUUCGCUUAAAUUAUAACUGAUAUUUUAGUCAUGUCGAUUGUCCGACUAUACCGCCGCUGCAGUACAUCCAAAUAAUUUUUUAAAGAAAACGAUGCGGACAUAGAAAAAGAUAAUGAUUAUAUAUUUGUACGGUUGCAGGCCGCCAGUCGCAGAGACGAGACACGUAGCUUGACUUGCAUGUUCCAUAUGUAUAAUAUCCAUUAUUAUAUGCGUCCGACGAUCUAGGUCCGUGGUGCGAUUAGGUUUCGCGUGUGGGUCAGCACACGCCGGACAAUAAUGCGUCUGGAAAUGAAUGGUUCUGCAGUAUUGUUUGAAUAUGUUACAUCCUACAAUGGUGUAUUUUUUUUAUCUGUCCAGAAUAUUUAAAUAAUUGCAAUCACUAUUAGGUAUAUUCAUACUAUACACAACCGAGUACAAUGAUCAAUUAGAAUGACAUCGCGGGAUUCAUUGGAAAAAAAUUCAUCGAAAGCAGCCCGACGCAACGCAUUUGACUACUAUAAUUAUGCAGAAAUUAGGAAGGAGACUCGCUGUUGACCUCGUUACGAUAUUUUAUCGAAUAAUGUGAUAUUUUUAACGACAAAAAACCGAUGCAAGUAAUAAGAACAUAAGCUGGGUCCAUCUGCUUAGUUGAUGCAAUUUCGGUCACAUAAAUUUACUAAUUGAUCUUCAGUAAUAGCAGCCAGAAGUGAUACCAUACACUCAUAAUCGUACAGGAUUUCCGUGAGAGAAUGCGUUUAUGGCGUUUAUGUGGAUGAAAAUUAUAAGAUUUUCAUUUUACUUCACUGCCAAAACAAGAAUAUCUACGUAACAACUACAACUACUCACAACAAAAUAUUCGUUACAAGACGUUUGACCCGAACGGAUGGACAUCCUCAUUCGAGGACGAUUUGUACACUAUCAAUUAUUAUUUUUAUUACUCAUCUGUUAUCCUAUUGAUCGCGGUUUGUAGCCAUUACCUAUGAG